rfam:Colletotrichum gloeosporioides Cg-14 contig00646, whole genome shotgun sequence.
GGGCGCUUGGUCUAGGGGUAUGAUUUUCGCUUCGCAUCCUCGUCGAAACCGGCGAUGCGCCUUGUGAAAGGUCGUGGGUUCAAUUCCCACAGUGUCCA